rnacentral:rRNA from 1 species
UUCGGGUCUAGUGGCGCACGGGUGCGUAACGCGUGGGAAUCUGCCCUUGGGUUCGGGAUAACAGUUGGAAACGACUGCUAAUACCGGAUGAUGACUUCGGUCCAAAGAUUUAUCGCCCAGGGAUGAGCCCGCGUCGGAUUAGCUAGUUGGUGAGGUAAAAGCUCACCAAGGCGACGAUCCGUAGCUGGUCUGAGAGGAUGAUCAGCCACACUGGGACUGAGACACGGCCCAGACUCCUACGGGAGGCAGCAGUGGGGAAUAUUGGACAAUGGGCGAAAGCCUGAUCCAGCAAUGCCGCGUGAGUGAUGAAGGCCUUAGGGUUGUAAAGCUCUUUUACCCGGGAUGAUAAUGACAGUACCGGGAGAAUAAGCCCCGGCUAACUCCGUGCCAGCAGCCGCGGUAAUACGGAGGGGGCUAGCGUUGUUCGGAAUUACUGGGCGUAAAGCGCACGUAGGCGGCUUUGUAAGUUAGAGGUGAAAGCCCGGGGCUCAACUCCGGAACUGCCUUUAAGACUGCAUCGCUAGAACGUCGGAGAGGUAAGUGGAAUUCCGAGUGUAGAGGUGAAAUUCGUAGAUAUUCGGAAGAACACCAGUGGCGAAGGCGACUUACUGGACGACUG